CCAGCCCGUAAACCGUUGACAAUUUUGUACCAGAAUAUGAAUUCUGACACAGCAGCAAGGAUGCUACCAUCACUCACAAAACCUUAUCUAGGGCUCUCCAGAUGAAAUAUUUGCAAAAUUAACCCAAUAACUCUCCCAGCACUCCUUAAAACUGGAAUGCAAAGAGCAUUCUUUUUUGGAAAAUUGUAUUCUCAUACAAUUCUUUCUGAGUAGAAAUCAGUAUCUGAAUGGAACUUGUCCAUACACAGAAAUUAUACCAUUUUACUUCAAAACAUGCUAUUAUACAGACUUGUGUAAUACACUUUGAAAAAUAUUUGUUUGGGGGGCAGGGAAGGGGAGAGGGAAAUGAAACAAGAAUUUUAUGUAAUAUAGCUAGAGUUACAUUUGAUUGAUAUUCAAAGAAGAUAUCACCAGAUAUUUCCCUGAAUUUUCUACUAGGUGUAAACAGAAUGUAUGCAAAAAUCUUCUUUACCAGAGAUGAAACAAAGACAUACAAUCUGAACUGAGAAUUAGUGUUUUCAGGAAAUCAAGGGCUUCCUGAAUAAUUAGCAUGCAUCUGCUAAUCACUCUGCAAAUUGUUGUUACAACCAGACAUAACCUUGCUAACACACUUCACUGGAAAUUACUUCAACUGAUUGCUCACUUCCAAUUCCUUGUAAGAAAAAGAUCGUCGAGAACAGCUAUAAAAGAGACAGAUCUAGCAUAGAACUCUUCAUUUUCCAGCUAAUUUGGUGCGAGUUUAUUCUCAGGCCUAGGGAAACAGCAUCUGAGUGCAACAGUUAAUUCAUUUGGGACUCAGCCUUUUACAAGGUGUAGAAUAUGCCGUUACUUCCAUCAUGAGAGUCUUCUUUAAAUUUUAAUUAAAAUUAAAUGAAAUUCUAUUAUCUGGAAAGAAUUCUUAAAUUUACAUAAAGAGAGAAAAAAAGUCUAAUAUCUAAAGCUUAAUAUUACCACCUUUCCCUCUUCUGCUCCCAGAUAGCCUUAAGGAAAAUGUGAAUCCACUGCUACAUUUAAAUUCCGUCUGGGAACAUUAGGAAACAGAUGAGUAUUUUUCAUUGAAAUUCCUAUUAGGAAUAUUGUCGAAGAAAAAUAAGCAGAGAAAAAUUAUUUGGGGGCAUUCAGUUUUACCCUGAAUUGCAUUUGCUUACUAUGCUUUGCUUAUAGUAUAUUUUUAUUUAAUGUAGCACCUUUUAUUUACAGAGACAAGAAAGGGACAUGAGAGAGGAAUGAAGCUGCUUCGGGAGAAAAUGUUAACCUUUUUUCCAUGACAAUUUUUAAAAAGAGGAAGAGUCAAUGAGGCAGAGAAAUAUAGCAAGGCUCUCUCAGAUGGGGGUUACCUGUCCCUUCCAGGGCAUAACUCUUCCAUGACCUCUUCAGUGAAUAUCCACUGUUCCAACUUUCAGCUCUCUCAAGUCUCUGCUGUACUCCUGGGAUCCUAGUUCACACAGACACAAAGCAUGAGCCAGCUCUAAAUUCAUAAUUGGUGUUUCAUUGCUGAUAAAUUACUUCAAAGGAAUCAGAAAACAAAAUUUAUAGUCUAUUCUGCACCUUAAUCUUGGGAACACGGCUGCUGCAGAGUGGAUGGGAGAGCUGGUGACAAAAGAUAAUGCUUGGACAAUGAUGGAUCAUAUCUGAGAAUACUAAUAAAGUAAGCUAAAAGAAAAACAAAGUGUCACUUUGUUUGAUUUCUCUUUCACAAUACACUUCUAACAGGAUAAAAUGUAUCUAGUUCACUA